CCUGUUCCCCUUUUAUCAACACACAGGCCCAGAAGACCCCUCCGUCCUGUAGCACCUGCCAUGAGCAUUGGGCUCCUGUACUGUGCGGCCUUUUCUCUCCUGUGGCCAGGUCUAGUGAAUGCUGGUGUCACUCAGACCUCAAAAUUCCAAGUCCUGAAGACAGGACAGAACAUGACAGUACAGUGUGCCCAGGAUAUGAACCAUAACUUCAUGUACUGGUAUCGACAAGACCCAGGCAUGGGGCUGAGGUUGAUUCAUUACUCAGGUGCUGCUGGUACUACUGAUAAAGGAGAAGUCCCCAAUGGCUACAAUGUCUCCAGAUUAAACACAGAGGUUUUCCCACUCAGACUGGAGUCGGCUGCUCCUUCCCAGACAUCUGUGUACAUUUGUGCCUGCGGUUACUCCACAGCACUACAAGGCCGUCUCCUCUCUGCACAUGAAAGCAGGCAGGCUCUGCCCUCCUCCCCCACCCAAGACUCAGGGAUGACCUGGGCAGAGUUUUCUGCAACAGGAACCUUGGAAUCCUGA